AUUGAACGCUGGCGGCAGGCCUAACACAUGCAAGUCGAGCGGAUGAAGGGAGCUUGCUCCUGGAUUCAGCGGCGGACGGGUGAGUAAUGCCUAGGAAUCUGCCUGGUAGUGGGGGAUAACGUCCGGAAACGGGCGCUAAUACCGCAUACGUCCUGAGGGAGAAAGUGGGGGAUCUUCGGACCUCACGCUAUCAGAUGAGCCUAGGUCGGAUUAGCUAGUUGGUGGGGUAAAGGCCUACCAAGGCGACGAUCCGUAACUGGUCUGAGGGGAUGAUCAGUCACACUGGAACUGAGACACGGUCCAGACUCCUACGGGAGGCAGCAGUGGGGAAUAUUGGACAAUGGGCGAAAGCCUGAUCCAGCCAUGCCGCGUGUGUGAAGAAGGUCUUCGGAUCGUAAAGCACUUUAAGUUGGGAGGAAGGGCAGUAAGUUAAUACCUUGCUGUUUUGACGUUACCAACAGAAUAAGCACCGGCUAACUUCGUG
rnacentral:rRNA from 1 species